rnacentral:rRNA from 1 species
UUCCUGUACUUCUAUGAAUUGUUUGACCAAUGGAGGGACGCGGGAGGCUAAGAAAAGCACGCGACUGGAAGUGCGUGUCCAAGCAGUGAGUUGGUUGAUGAGUCAAAUGCUUAUCGCGUAUACAACAAGCUGUGAUGGGGAGGGAAGUUUAGUACCGAAGUUUCUGACGUCACACUGCCAAGAAAAGCUUCUAGGAAGAGACAUAGAACCCGUACCGCAAACCGACACAGGUAGUUGAGGAGAGAAUCCUAAGGUGAGCGAGCGAACUCUCGUUAAGGAACUCGGCAAAAUAACCCCGUAACUUCGGGAGAAGGGGUGCUGACCGCAAGGUCAGCCGCAGUGAAUAGGCCCAGGCGACUGUUUAUCAAAAACACAGGUCUCUGCAAAAUCGAAAGAUGACGUAUAGGGGCUGACGCCUGCCCGGUGCUGGAAGGUUAAGAGGAGAGGUUAGCGCAAGCGAAGCUUUGAAUUGAAGCCCCAGUAAACGGCGGCCGUAACUAUAACGGUCCUAAGGUAGCGAAAUUCCUUGUCGGGUAAGUUCCGACCCGCACGAAAGGCGUAACGAUCUGGGCACUGUCUCAACGAGAGACUCGGUGAAAUUAUAGUACCUGUGAGGAUGCAGGUUACCCGCGACAGGACGGAAAGACCCCAUGGAGCUUUACUGUAGUUUGAUAUUGAGUGUUUGUGUCACAUGUACAGGAUAGGUAGGAGCCAAAGAAGUCGGGACGCCAGUCUCGAUGGAGGCAAUGGUGGGAUACUACCCUUGUGACAUGACCACUCUAACCCGCACCCCUGAUCGGGGUGGAGACAGUGUCAGACGGGCAGUUUGACUGGGGCGGUCGCCUCCUAAAAAGUAACGGAGGCGCCCAAAGGUUCCCUCAGAAUGGUUGGAAAUCAUUCGAAGAGUGUAAAGGCAGAAGGGAGCUUGACUGCGAGACCAACAAGUCGAGCAGGGACGAAAGUCGGGCUUAGUGAUCCGGUGGUACCGCAUGGAAGGGCCAUCGCUCAACGGAUAAAAGCUACCCUGGGGAUAACAGGCUUAUCUCCCCCAAGAGUUCACAUCGACGGGGAGGUUUGGCACCUCGAUGUCGGCUCAUCGCAUCCUGGGGCUGUAGUCGGUCCCAAGGGUUGGGCUGUUCGCCCAUUAAAGCGGUACGCGAGCUGGGUUCAGAACGUCGUGAGACAGUUCGGUCCCUAUCCGUCGCGGGCGUUGGAAAUUUGAGAGGAGCUGUCCUUAGUACGAGAGGACCGGGAUGGACACACCGCUGGUGUACCAGUUGUUCUGCCAAGAGCAUCGCUGGGUAGCUAUGUGUGGACGGGAUAAACGCUGAAAGCAUCUAAGCGUGAAGCCCCCCUCAAGAUGAGAUUUCCCAUCACUAAGAGUGAGUAAGACCCCUGAGAGACGAUCAGGUAGAUAGGCUAGAAGUGGAAGUACAGCGAUGUAUGGAGCGGACUAGUACUAAUCGGUCGAGGACUUAACC